UUUAUUUAUUUGUGAACUAAUAAAUAUAUGUAACCUAUAAGGUUACAUAUAUUUACACACACACACAUACAUACUACAUAGGUGAGUAUUUGUGUUUGUCCUCUACUUGAUAACUGGUGUUGAUUUGCUUUCAUCCCCAUAACAACAGUUUUGCGACUGAUAGGAUGAGAAUACAAAACACUGGGGUGCCCAACAUGUCUGCAGUCCCAUGACUGAAACCGAAGAGAAAAAAAGCUGCUACUUGAAAAACUCUAAAUAUCUAACAUUUAUUUAGUAAUAAUUCCAUCAUUACCUUAGUAGGUAUAAUGAAGGCUGUGCUUCAUUGAUGAGUUUACAAUGAUACAGAAACCUGUUUGAAAUUGUUUCCAGUUAGCUUUUUAAUCUCUCUGUAUUAAAUAUUUUAAAUCAACAAUAUAUGCCUGUCAUUGACUGGAUAUAAAACAGUAAAAACCUUCAUUUAAUUCUUUACACACACACAAGGGCAGUUCUGUGGGAAGGAAACAUUUAACCGGAUUAAUACUGGUAAACUAUUGGUAUUUGUUCUCCAGAAUGUCUGGUAAAUUAACUCUCGUAGGAUUUGAACUUGGAAUGAAGAGAGACCCUUAUGUUCAGUGUUCUGUCAACUACUCAUUUAAUAUCAGUACAUUUAUUUGAAGUUUAUUUCAUAUGAAUUGACUGCUAAAAAGUUUUUUUUUUUUAUGUAAAACAAUUUUUAGAUUAGAUAGUAUAAAUCACCUGUCUGAGAUAGAAAAGAGAAACAAGCCUACAUGUGGUACUCAAACCAUGUAUGUAUCAUUCCCUAAUAUUUGGAGUUAAACUUAUGGUAGUAGGCUGGCAGAAUUUUUAGCACACCAGGUAAAUUGCUUAGAAACAUUUCAUCACUCCUCAGGUUCUGAGUUCAAAUUCUGCCAAAGUCAACUAUGCCUUUCAUCCUUUCAGGGUCAAUAAAAUCAGUACCAGUUGAGCACUGAGGUUGAUGAAAUCGACUUACCCCCUUCCUUGAAACUGCUGACCUUGUACCAAAAUUUGAAGCCAAUAUUUGGAGUUAAACCUCUCCUGCUCUGCUAAGUAAUUGAUUAUCUCUUAGAGAUAAAAAUAUAACAGUUAAGUGGGGAGGGGAAUGUUAAGUACCUAAACUGAAAGUGAAGGAUUGACAGGCUUUCUGUUGUGUGGAAUCAGUAAUGUGGUUGGAAUUGUAUCAAUAGGUUUGCGUGUCGAGGAAUGAUAAAUGCAGUCUUAAUUGGUAAAAUUAAACUGGCAAUUUUUUUAAAAUAUCAGUUUGCCAGUAUCUUUCCACAUGGUUGGAAGAAAUAAAAAAAAUUGUAAAAUGUUUACAAAUUCA